rnacentral:piRNA from 1 species
UGUGUUCACGCUCGCGCACUCGCAAG